rnacentral:rRNA from 1 species
UACGUAGGGUGCAAGCGUUGUCCGGAAUUAUUGGGCGUAAAGAGCUCGUAGGCGGUUUGUCGCGUCUGCUGUGAAAACGCGAGGCUCAACCUCGCGCCUGCAGUGGGUACGGGCAGACUAGAGUGCGGUAGGGGAGAUUGGAAUUCCUGGUGUAGCGGUGGAAUGCGCAGAUAUCAGGAGGAACACCGGUGGCGAAGGCGGAUCUCUGGGCCUGUUCUGACGCUGAGGCGCGAAAGCUAGGGGAGCGAAUGGG